rnacentral:rRNA from 1 species
GAUGAACGCUGGCGGUCUGCUUAACACAUGCAAGUCGAACGGGCUCUUUCGGGUGCUUGUGGCGGACGGGGGAGUAACGCGGGAUAAUCCGCCCUUAGGAGGGGGAUAACGGUUGGAAACGACCGCUAAAACCCCAUGUGCCGUGAGGUAAAAAGUAUUUCGCCAAGGGAUGGGCGCGCGUCGGAUUAGCUAGUUGGUGGGGUAAGAGCCCAUCAAGGCGACGAUCCGUAGCUGGUCUGAGAGGAUGACCAGCCACACUGGGACUGAGACACGGCCCAGACUUCUGCGGGAGGCAGCAGGGGGGAAUUUUCCGCAAUGGGCGCGAGCCUGACGGAGCAAGACCGCGUGAGGGAAGACGGUCUGUGGAUUGUAAACCUCUUUUGACAGGGAAGAAGUACUGACGGUACCUGUCGAAUCAGCCUCGGCUAACUCCGUG